rnacentral:rRNA from 1 species
GAUGAACGCUGGCGGCGUGCCUAAUACAUGCAAGUCGAGCGAACAGACGAGGAGCUUACUCCUCUGACGUUAGCGGCGGACGGGUGAGUAACACGUGGAUAACCUACCUAUAAGACUGGGAUAACUUCGGGAAACCGGAGCUAAUACCGGAUAACAUGUUGAACCGCAUGGUUCAACAGUGAAAGACGCUCUUGCUGUCACUUAUAGAUGUCUCCGCGUCGAAUUAGCUAGUUGGUAAGGUAACGGGCUACCAAGGCAACGAUGCGUAGCCGGCCCGAGAGGGGGGACGGGCCAACUUGGAACUGGAACACGGUCCAGAUUCCUACGGGAGGAAGCAGUAGGGAAUCUUCCGCAAUGGGCGAAAGCCUGACGGAGCAACGCGGCGUGAGUGAAGAAGGUCUUCGGAUCGUAAAACUCUGUUAUUAGGGAAGAACAAAUGUGUAAGUAACUAUGCACGUCUUGACGGUACCUAAUCAGAAAGCCACGGCUAACUACGUG